UACAAUGAUGAUACAUUGCCUUUCUGCGGUUCUGUUUGCUAUCUACACAAAUGUGCAGUGCCAGGAUACAGUAACACAAACAGCUGAAGUAUUUGCAAAAGAAGGAGAAGCUGCAAGUUUCAACUGUAACCCAAGGAGCAAUGAUGAUUUUAUUUACUGGUACAAACAGUUGCCUAAUCAAGCACCAGUGAUUCUGUUUCAGGCAUAUGGCACUUCAAAAUCUGAACGACAAUUUAAUCUGACAAAAAAUAACAGCACCUCCUGGACAUUGAGCAUCCGAAAGGUAACACUGCAAGACACAGCAGUGCACUUCUGUGCAACUAGUGACACACUGUGUCAGGAGAAUGAGACGCUCAGACAAAAAAGUAAAACCUGUGACAGAACUGCCUAGCAUGACAAUUUGUGUUCAGAGAUAUUUCCAAUUUUUCACACCCUUAGUUCGGUAUUCUUUUUAUUUGUUGGUUUUGUUUUCUCAGAUUUGUUUAAUGAGUAAAUAUCGCUACCAAAUAGUUGAACUACUGACAAUUAAUACUGAUAUACUCUGUAAGUAAGGUUUUGUUCCACAGCUCAGAAAACGACAAUUUAAAUCUCACUCAGCACAAUAUAAAAUAAAAUAUA